rnacentral:tRNA from 1 species
GGUCAUGGCUCAGUGGUAGAGUGCUCACCUAGCAUGAGUGAGGUGCUGGGUUCGAUCCUCGGCACCA